UACAGAGGUCUCAAGCGUUGUUCGGAUUCAUUGGGCGUAAAGGGUGCGUAGGCGGCGCGGUAAGUCGGGUGUGAAAUCUCGGAGCUUAACUCCGAACUGCAUUCGAUACUGCCGUGCUUGAGGACUGGAGAGGAGACUGGAAUUUACGGUGUAGCGGUGAAAUGCGUAGAUAUCGUGAAGGAAGACCAGUGGCGAAGGCGGGUCUCUGGACGUUCCUGACGCUG
rnacentral:rRNA from 1 species